GUGUGGCCCAGACAGGGCACUGUCUGUGGCCCCAGGGGUUGAGGACCCCUGGCUUCAACAACAGAAAUGUACCAUCUUACAGUUCUGGAGGCCAAAGUCUGAGAUCCAGGGAGGGAAUUGGGAUCUGAAGAUGUUGCAUUCGAGGUCUCGGGGCUCCUGAUGAGCAGCCUCGGCCUGACUGGGGGCAGGCGUGAUGUCUGUGGCUCACCAUCUCCACCCUGCCUGCUGUGGAAUCUCCAUCACAACGACAGGUGCUUUGGAGGCCAGAGUGCAUGCGUACGGGCCCUGCACACGCUGAAUGUCACUGGGAACACGGACACACCCUGCUUCCAGGAGAAGAUAGAACACAUCGACCCCUUUUGCUCUCGCUCUGUUGCCCAGGCUGGAGUUCAGUGGCAUGAUCUUGGCUCACUGCAGCCUCGAACUCACAGGCUUAGGUGAUCCUCCCACCUCAGCCUCCUCAGUAGCUGGGACUACAGAGCCAUCCCCAGUGCAGGACAUGCUAUUGACUUCCAUGAGACAAACACCUACUUGGAAAUCAGGUUUUUUCUGUACCUUUUGAAGGAGCAGGAAUUUCCCAGCAUUUCCUGGACAAAGACGGAGGCUCCUGGGGCCUACAGAAAGGAGCUGGAGGUGCCUAGUGCAGGCUAGGAGGCCUCCUUUAUUGAGGUGACAUCCCUGGAUGCUGGCUUGGCGGAGGCUGGGGAGAACGCUGCCUCCCUGGAAUAGAAGAUGCCUUGGAAGCCCUGGGUGCAGGCUGGCCGGCUCUGCCUGAGCUGCCUGUCUUCAUUCCAUGGCUCUGCUUGUUAGAGGAGGAAGUUAGGCAGACAUGAGUGGCGCCCACCAGCCCAGGAAUGUCAGGUGACCAUCAGGUGAUGGUCAGGCAGUUGUUAAACUGUCUCUCUGAAAUGAUCAUUGGUUGCAGCUCACACCAGGGGAAGAUGGUCUCCCAAUAAAUAAAAAAACACCUGAAACUGGUGAUCAGCAGCUUCCCAAUAAGCUCUCGAGUUGGGCGAGUGGGCUCAAGCGUGCGCACUAAGAGGCAAAAUGGCGGAUGUAUGAACUUCCUAUGGGGGCGUUCAACCAGUAAAGGAAAACCGCCCCUAGAGAGCAUGCGCACAACCUCAGUCAACUCACUACACAUGCAAUCACCCUCCUGAGUGCUGACCAACACUGCUGCAUGGGGCUGUUGAGCAACAGCCCGCCCCAAGGGAAGAACUGAGGGAGGAGAAGAGAAAACCCCAGAGCCGUGCCAAUGGAUAAACCCCACGCCCAGGGCUGAGCAGUCACUUGGAUCUCUCACGUGGCACACUCAGCCCUCUUCCAAGUAUACUUUAACUUCCUUUCACUCCUGCUCUAAAACUUUUUCAUAAACCCUCACUCCUGUUCUAACACGUGCCUCAAUCUCCCCCUCUGCCUUAAACCUACCUCUGCUCCAGAUUCUUUCCUCUGAGGAGGCAAGGAUGGAGUUGCUGCUGACCCGUGCAGAUUUGCUGCUGGUAACAUACUCAUGGGCAAAGUCUGAAAAACCUCUUCCUGCCCUGGGCAAGGCAGAUGGGGCAGCCCACCAGGCUGGCUUUGCCCACCGUCUCCGAUAUCAUCCAACACAGUCGGCCAGGUUGUGUGGCCCUCUCAUCUACAUUCUCAUUUGCCAACAAGAUGGUGUGGGCUAUGCUGUCUUUGCACAGCGAUCUGAUCCCAGGGACAUUUGUGUGGGUGUGUGCCCGGGAGCUGCAUGUCUGCAGGUUCAGAUCGGGGUCAGCUUUGCUGGAGAGUGUGGCUUCCUGCCAUGGCACCAAAGAAGAGGGCUGGCGGAUUAGUCCUGUUGUCUCUCAUAGCUUUGUAGGGACACAGCGGGCCAUGUGGACUGACAGCUGGACCCUUCAUAAAGAUGGCCUAGAAAAUUAGGACACCGUCCUGUUGACAAAGCCCCUAGGCCUGCCCCCAUCAGGCCUCAUGGGUCCUUUUCAGGCCUAAGCCAGGGUUCUGAAAUCAUCUGUAAUGUGAAUUUAUAUUUCUAGGCCACAUUCCCUGCAUCCUUUCCAGCAAGAUGUAAUUCUGAGAUUUUUGUCAUUCCUGGGCGUUAUCUUAUGAGGACUGCCAAGGGACACAAUGCCAUGGGAGGAAAGUUUUCUUCUAAGCUGCAAGCCAGCUCUGGCUUCUGGAGUUUCUCCUUAGGAUUGCAAGACAGUAGUUCCCUGUCCUUUAGGUCUUCUCCAGAAAUACCUUAAAAUAGCAAAUAAAAUAAGAUAUAAGCAAACAAAACCUG